AACGAACGCUGGCGGCAGGCCUAAACAUGCAAGUCGAACGCUCUAGCAAUAGAGAGUGGCGCACGGGUGCGUAACACGUGGGAAUAUGCCUUUUGGUACGGAACAACGUUUGGAAACGAACGCUAAUACCGUAUGGUCCCUUCGGGGUAAAGAUUUAUCGCCAAAAGAUUAGCCCGCGCUGGAUUAGCUAGCUGGUGAGGUAAUGGCUCACCAAGGCGACGAUCCAUAGCUGGUCUGAGAGGAUGAUCAGCCACACUGGGACUGAGACACGGCCCAGACUCCUACGGGAGGCAGCAGUUAGGAAUAUUGGACAAUGGACGCAAGUCUGAUCCAGCCAUGCCGCGUGAGCGAUGAAGGCCUGGUUGUAAG
rnacentral:rRNA from 1 species